AGAGUUUGAUCCUGGCUCAGAUUGAACGCUGGCGGCGUGCUUAACACAUGCAAGUCGUGCGAGAAAGGGGACUUCGGUCCCUGAGUAGAGCGGCGCACGGGUGAGUAACGCGUGGAUAAUCUCCCCAGAAGUUCGGGAUAACGGCGGGAAACUGCCGCUAAUACCGGAUACGCUCCAAUUUCGGUUGGGGGAAAGGCGGCCUCUGUUUACAAGCUGUCGCUUCUGGAUGAGUCCGCGUCCCAUUAGCUUGUUGGUGGGGUAAUGGCCUACCAAGGCUACGAUGGGUAGCUGGUCUGAGAGGAUGAUCAGCCACACUGGAACUGAAACACGGUCCAGACUCCUACGGGAGGCAGCAGUGGGGAAUAUUGCGCAAUGGGGGAAACCCUGACGCAGCGACGCCGUGUGAGGGAUGAAGGCUUUCGGGUCGUAAACCUCUGUCGGGAGGGAA
rnacentral:rRNA from 1 species